rnacentral:rRNA from 1 species
CCUACGGGGGGCAGCAGUGGGGAAUAUUGCACAAUGGGGAAACCCUGAUGCAGCGAAGCCGCGUGAGUGAAGAAGUACUUCGUUAUGUAAAGCCCUAUCAGCAGGGAAGAAAAUGACGGUACCUGAAGAACUAGCCUCGCCUAACUCCGUGCAAGCGGCCGCGGUAAUACGGAGGAUGCGAGCGUUAUCCGGAUUUGUUGGGUUAAAAGGGUGCGCAGGCGGCCUGUUAAGUCAGCGGUAAAAGCCCGGGGCUCAACCCCGGCGAGCCGUUGAAACUGGCGGGCUGGAGUUGGAGAGAAGGACGCGGAAUGCGCGGUGUAGCGGUGAAAUGCUUAGAUAUCGCGCAGAACCCCGAUGGCGAAGGCAGCGUACCGGCUCCACACUGACGCUGAGGUACGAAAGCGUGGGUAGCGAACAGGAUUAGAUACCCUAGUAGUC